rnacentral:rRNA from 1 species
GAUGAACGCUGGCGGCGUGCCUAAUACAUGCAAGUCGAGCGAACGGACGAGAAGCUUGCUUCUCUGAUGUUAGCGGCGGACGGGUGAGUAACACGUGGAUAACCUACCUAUAAGACUGGGAUAACUUCGGGAAACCGGAGCUAAUACCGGAUAAUAUUUUGAACCGCAUGGUUCAAAAGUGAAAGACGGUCUUGCUGUCACUUAUAGAUGGAUCCGCGCUGCAUUAGCUAGUUGGUAAGGUAACGGCUUACCAAGGCAACGAUGCAUAGCCGACCUGAGAGGGUGAUCGGCCACACUGGAACUGAGACACGGUCCAGACUCCUACGGGAGGCAGCAGUAGGGAAUCUUCCGCAAUGGGCGAAAGCCUGACGGAGCAACGCCGCGUGAGUGAUGAAGGUCUUCGGAUCGUAAAACUCUGUUAUUAGGGAAAAACAUACGUGUAAGUAACUGUGCACAUCUUGACGGUACCUAAUCAGAAAGCCACGGCUAACUACGUG